UACAGAGGGUGCAAGCGUUAAUCGGAAUUACUGGGCGUAAAGCGCAUGUAGGUGGAUAUAAAAGUUUGAUGUGAAAGCCCUGGGCUUAACCUGGGAACGGCGUUGAAGACUGUGUAUCUAGAGUAUGGCAGAGGGUCGUGGAAUUUCCGGUGUAGCGGUGAAAUGCGUAGAGAUCGGAAAGAACACCAGUGGCGAAGGCGUCGACCUGGGCCUAGACUGACACUGAGGUGCGAAAGCGUGGGGAGCAAACAGG
rnacentral:rRNA from 1 species